AACCUGGUUGAUCCUGCCAGUAGUCAUACGCUCGUCUCAAAGAUUAAGCCAUGCAUGUCUAAGUAUAAAUACUUUUACUUUGAAACUGCGAACGGCUCAUUAUAUAAGUUUUGAUUUAUUUGAUAGUCCCUUACUACUUGGAUAACCGUAGUAAUUCUAGAGCUAAUACAUGCGUCAAUACCCUUCUGGGGUAGUAUUUAUUAGAAAGAAACCAACCCCUUCGGGGUGAUGUGGUGAUUCAUAAUAAGCUUGCGGAUCGCACGGCUUUUGCUGGCGAUGGAUCAUUCAAGAUUCUUCCCUAUCAGCUUUGGAUGGUAGGGUAUUGGCCUACCAUGGCUUUAACGGGUAACGGGAAAUUAGGGUUUGAUUCCGGAGAGGGGGCAUGAGAGAUGGCCACCACAUCCAAGGAAGGCAGCAGGCGCGUAAAUUACCCAAUCCUGACACAGGGAGGUAGUGACAAUAAAUAACAAUGCCGGGCCUUCUUAGGUCUGGCAAUUGGAAUGAGAACAAUUUAAACCCCUUAUCGAGGAUCAAUUGGAGGGCAAGUCUGGUGCCAGCAGCCGCGGUAAUUCCAGCUCCAAUAGCGUAUAUUAAAGUUGUUGCAGUUAAAAAGCUCGUAGUUGGAUUUGUGGGUGGAGCGAGUGUCCCGACGCAUAGCGUGGGUGAUGUUCGUCUCCGUCCAUCUUUGGGUGGAAUCCGUGUGGCAUUAAGUUGUCGUGCGGGGGAUGCCCAUCUUUUACUGUG
rnacentral:rRNA from 1 species